rnacentral:rRNA from 2 species
UGAUCCGCAAUGCCGCGUGUGUGAAGAAGGCCUUCGGGUUGUAAAGCACUUUUAUCAGGAGCGAAAUGCCAUUGGUUAAUACCCGGUGGAGCUGACGGUACCUGAGGAAUAAGCACCGGCUAACUUCGUGCCAGCAGCCGCGGUAAUACGAAGGGUGCAAGCGUUAAUCGGAAUUACUGGGCGUAAAGCGUGCGUAGGCGGUGACUUAAGUCUGCUGUGAAAUCCCCGGGCUCAACCUGGGAAUGGCAGUGGAUACUGGGUCGCUAGAGUGUGAUAGAGGAUGGUGGAAUUCCCGGUGUAGCGGUGAAAUGCGUAGAGAUCGGGAGGAACAUCAGUGGCGAAGGCGGCCAUCUGGAUCAACACUGACGCUGAGGCACGAAAGCGUGGGGAGCAAACAGGAUUAGAUACCCUGGUAGUCCACGCCCUAAACGAUGCGAACUGGAUGUUGGUCUCAACUCGGAGAUCAGUGUCGAAGCUAACGCGUUAAGUUCGCCGCCUGGGGAGUACGGUCGCAAGACUG